CUGUAUUUCAAAAGUGAUGCUUUUUUUUUUCUUUUACAUUUCUUUCUUCUAUUCCAAAUAUAAAAAAGAAACCAUUAUGUCCCAAAUCUUGGCUGUUUUUCAAACUACGUCAGCUGAUCUGACAAAGAAUAGGACUUUGACCUGCAAACUUGGUGUGAAAAAGUGGGAACGUUGCUGAAGGUGAUCAGUGGUUCAAGGCAGCAGCAUAGCUAAUUCAUUUCAGCUAGUUUAAGAGAUGAAAGAAACAGAGGGAAAAAAAAUGCUAUCAUUUCUUGCCUGUAACCUGAGGUUUGUUCUGUGCAUAUUCUUGUUAGGUAUUUGUGGAAGAAGCCUUUCACAAGUAAAGAGAAGUGCCAGGGAAAGGAGCUUUCAGACCGGCUGCUGUGGGAGAUUCUUCUUGAGCUGUGGAGUAUGGCAUCGCUUUCUGAGAAAUUUACCUUCUCUAUCUUCCAGUAUGAAACGAGCCAUUCUACUCACUGAAGACACUACACAGGAACAAAAACAAACCUUUCAGAUUCUGGAAAUCACAUUGUUACUUCAAAAUGCCUCCAAUCAGCUUCUCCCAUGUGGCUCAGCAGAGAAAGAAAACGGAACAAAUUCUGCCCUUCAGGACUGUGAAGAUGGAGUGCCAUGAAAGAGCAUGGAGCUCAGCCAGAUUUUCCUGCCAUUCCAUGGCCAGAUUUGAAGACAGGAGACAGGUUUAAGUAUUGUGUAACCAGCCUUAAUAUCUGCUCAACUCAACACGCAUUAACAUAUGGCAGUGAGAUGUGCUAACAAGAAAACACCCUUCAACUCUUCUUCUAAUGCAGUAUGUUGUGGGAUUCCUCAGUCUGUCUCUGCUAUUCCUUUCCCAGGAAAAUGGAGGAAAGGGUUUCACCAACAUGGUGGCCUUGCAAGGUACUUUCCCUCUUGCUUAAUGGAUUUACCUUCCCUCAAUGGACUUCUGUACACCUUUGUACACAGGCUGUGUUGAUCUUGAUCUUUUUUUUCCUUUAGUUCAUUAACCAAAUAAUGAAGAUUAAGUUCAAAUACUAAGACUUUCAAGGCUAAAGUGGAAUAUCCAUUAACACCCCAACUAGCUUCAGGUAGGAUUUCUAUUAAUUUAAUUAUUAUAUCACACUACUGAGGUCUUUUUUUCUCACGUAAGUAAUAAGAAUGAAUAUAUUAAUCUUCGUUGUGCAUAUCUCUUGAAAGAAAUGGAUGGGAGCAUUUUAAUUUUCAAUCAGCAGUUCUGGUGGCUGAAAGCAAUUACAUGCCAUCAUAUAUACAAUAUCUGUGAUAGCUUAAGGGUGCAGAAUGGAACUACAUGGAUAAAUGAAAGAGCCAGUUUAUGAAUCAUAAAAAUUUACAUCUAAAUCACAGAAUCAUUCUUUAAAAGAGUAUAUGAGGACUAACAUAAGUGCAUGCAUAUAUUCACACAUGACCUCAGCUUGUACAUCAAAUUCUUUCAAAAACAUUCACUUGUGUGUAAUCAGUGGACAAACAUACAGUUAGAAAAAAAAAUGGUAAAAUAUUUACAGAAAAUAAUUUACAAAUGUAUGAAUAUUAGUUCAUCUCUGGUUUAAAAAAUAGCUUUUCCGCAAGUGCCAUUAUGAAAGCCCACUUUUCAUUAUUUCCUCUAUGGCUCCAGAUGAACUCCAAGUUUUCCAUACAUUCCACAUGACCUUGUCCAAAGCUUUGCUUUAAGCAGGGGUGGGACAAGGGCUGGACUUACAGAAUUUGAUCAAGACAAAAACUAUGGGACAGCCUUGCCGGACUAGGCACAAGGGUGGGAGGAGAAGCUGAGACUGGCAGGACAGGAAGAUCAGGAGUCACUGGGUGGAAGAUGGAGGAAAGAUUUUGACAAGUAGAAGAGGUGCUGGGGGAAAUGAGCUGGAGGAACAAAAGCCCAGGACAGGAACAAUGUCACAGAGAUAAGAAAAAUGCCAAUGCUUUAGAGGAGCAUCAGGAGGUGGAUGGCAGCUGAGAACAAACAGCCCUGGGUGACAGACAAGAACAGGGCAGCGUAUGGGAGUCAGGUGAAGGCUGGAUGGGAUUCAUCACCAAUUCAUGGUCAGUGCCAAUUCAGUCAGUACACAAACCAAAGGCAAAUGACAAGGUCUGAAAAUAUUUCACCAAAAAAAUAUGCGUUAUAAGGUGCAUGGGAAUGGAAGCAAAAAAAAGUCUUAUCCCCAAAUGCAAAUUCAUUUUGGUAUCGUAGCACGUAUUUACAAAAGUUGGGGUUACCUUUCCAUUUCCGUUUGAGCACUUAGAUUAAUUUAUUUUCUGUUUCUGAAGAAUUUUGGUUUAUAGUAUCCGUUCUAUGCCUGCUCCUGCAAACAGUCAUAUCUAUUGUGAAAAUAAAUGUACUGCUGAAAGGUAAAAAGUUCCAUGUGAAUAAGUGUUAAAUCCUUGGGUCUUAAGAAAUGGUGAGUAGUGACAAGCGAAACAAAUCUCAUCCUCACAAAAAUAUUUUUUAACUAUACUAACUUGUUCACUUUCUGAAGUCCUUUUUUUUCCCCUCCCCCUUCCAGUCAUUUAUUAUAAAUAGCAGCAUGAAGCAGUUUGUCUGGAUUUUAUGGAGGGAAUGGCCUGGAAGCUAAAUCAUAGCUGAAAUUGUAAUAAAAAGAUGAAAAAUGUACAAACAAACCAUAUUAAAAAUUGCUUAUUUCAUUUUGGCAUCCUCAAGAAGUUGUUUACUGUGUAUUUCUUCUUUCCUGAUGUGAGAUCUACAUUUCAUUUUUCCUUUCUGUCAAACCUCUUUCACUCAGUCUCUAGCUUAAGUACUUUCUCCGUGGUAGCGAUUGUAAUUCUGUGCUGUUUCCUCAUCUGUUCCCUCUCAGGUGUAGGCUUUACCUGCAACAAUGUAGAGCCAAAUGUACAUGAAGAUUGUUUUGCAAGAUGUAUGGGAUCCUUACGUUUUCAUUAAAAGUUUGUAUAUUCUGCUGAUGUACUGCUUCAACAGUGCAAGAAUGAAAUUCACGUACAAAAAUCAGCAGAAAACCCACUAGCAAUAUUUUACUCAUUAAGAACGGGUUUCUAAUGGGCUACCCAAAAUAACAAUUUGCUUUUUUAUUUUAAUGGUGUGAGGAUAAUCAGAUUUUCAGGACUAUGGCUUUGACCGAAUUAA